rnacentral:rRNA from 1 species
GACGAACGCUGGCGGCGUGCCUAAUACAUGCAAGUUGAGCGCUGAAGGUUGGUCCUUGUACCAACUGGAUGAGCAGCGAACGGGUGAGUAACGCGUGGGGAAUCUGCCUUUGAGCGGGGGACAACAUUUGGAAACGAAUGCUAAUACCGCAUAAAAACUUUAAACACAAGUUUUAAGUUUGAAAGAUGCAAUUGCAUCACUCAAAGAUGAUCCCGCGUUGUAUUAGCUAGUUGGUGAGGUAAAGGCUCACCAAGGCGAUGAUACAUAGCCGACCUGAGAGGGUGAUCGGCCACAUUGGGACUGAGACACGGCCCAAACUCCUACGGGAGGCAGCAGUAGGGAAUCUUCGGCAAUGGACGGAAGUCUGACCGAGCAACGCCGCGUGAGUGAAGAAGGUUUUCGGAUCGUAAAACUCUGUUGGUAGAGAAGAACGUUGGUGAGAGUGGAAAGCUCAUCAAGUGACGGUAACUACCCAGAAAGGGACGGCUAACUACGUG